rnacentral:tRNA from 1 species
CAAGGCGUAGCUAUAAACCAAAGCACUCAGCUUACACCUGAAAGAUGCCUUCAAAGAUAAGGUCGCCUUGA